rnacentral:misc_RNA from 1 species
GGAUCUCUUUCCAGCAUCAAUUGUUCCCGAAUUGCUAGCGGCAGAAAUUCGAAAAGCUGCAAAGAUUGACUUGUAAGUUUCUUUUUCCAUAGCCCACCUUCAUCGACAACAUCACGGGCCAAAAUUUCAUUCAGUUCUGCAAUGAGAUGCUGCACCUCAGGAAUGAAAUCAAUUAAACCUUCAGGUAUAAGGAUCACACCAUAGUUAUAACCCAGAUCAGCACGUUUACAGAUUAUAUCUACAAUGUAGUCAGUAACAUUUUUCAGUGUCAGCUUCUUUGCAGCAACCUCUUCUCCAAUGAUUGUAAUAUUUGGAUGAGUUUGCAAAGCACACUCUAAGGUAAUGUGUGAAGCUGCACGCCCCAUAAGCCGUACAAAGUGAUAAUAUUUUCCAGUUGAUCGAGCCUCAAUCAUGACAUUUCCAAUCAUUUCUGAUGCAGAAAACUUCAGGAGUAAAAAUAUGAAAACUAGGGUCUUUGCAUUUCAGAUCACCAUCAAUGGUCUUUGGGCAUCCAAUGACCCUAGUUUUCAUAUUUUUAGUCCUGAAGUUUUCUGCAAGAAGGCAAGCAUUAGUGUUUGAGUCAUCCCCACCAAUAACGACUAGUCCAUCCAAAUCGAGUUUCAAUGCUGUCUCUUCAGCUUGUUUAAACUGCUCGGGUGUCUCAAUUUUGUCCCUUCCACUGCAGAUCAUAUCAAAACCACCCUGAUUUCUAUAGGGAUAAAUAAAAUCAGCGGUUAAUUCUACAUAUUUGCACUUCAUGAUCCCAGCAGGACCACCUCUAAACCCGUAUAAUAUGCUUCCCUUCGCACGUUCCUGCAAGUAAUCGAAGAUUCCAGAGAUCACAUUGUGUCCUCCAGGUGCCUGACCUCCGGACAAAACAACACCAAUCUUCAGCUUCAGAUUCGAAUGCACUGCAUCAGCCCCAUUUGGCACAAACAUUGACGAUGGCUGUCCAAACAGAUUUGGAAAUAGCUUCGCGAUCUCAUCUGGAUUGCCAGCAGCGGAGCUUGGGGGGCCUUCGACGACUUUGAAGGGGUUUUUGAGGACAGAAGGGACAGGAAGAGAGUGGUCGAUGCGACUCGCUUGCAAUUCACUGUAAACAGAAGCGAAGCGUCCCGUUGCCGGAGAGGAUUUGACGGUGGGGACUUCGCCGUUGAUUACAAAAGAAGGAGCCAUUGAUUGUUGGUUUAUAACUAAUUCUCAGUGAUUAGGUUUUUAGGUACGGGGGGAGAGUGAGCGAUGAGAGUAGAAUAGUGAAGGUUCUGCCUCUUGGUUUUUAAUACACACAAAGAUUCACAGCGUUGAAAGGGUAAGAUAGUCAAUUUGACUUCCAGAACC